GUUCUUAUAGUUGAAGUACAACGAUAAUUUUUCAUGUUAUUGGUCAUGGUUGAAGUCCAUGUGAGAAUA
rnacentral:tRNA from 1 species